GAUGAACGCUGGCGGCGUGCCUAAUACAUGCAAGUCGAACGAACAGACGCGGCGCUUGCUGCUCUGACGUUAGCGGCGGACGGGUGAGUCACACGUGGAUAACCUCCCUAUCAGUCUGGGAUAACUUCGGGAAACCGGAGCUAAUCCCGGAUGAUAUCUUGAACCGCAUGGUUCAAUGGUGAGAGUCGGUUUUGCUGUCUCUUAUAGAUGGAUCCGCGCCGCAUUAGCUAGUUGGUAAGGUAAAAGCUUACGACGGCGACGAUGCGUAGACGACCUGCGGGGGUGAUAGGCCACACUGGAACUGAGACACGGUCCAGACGCCUACGAGAGGCAGCAGUAGGGAAUCGUACGCAAUAGUCGAAAGCCUGACGGAGCAAGGCCACGUGAGUGAUGAAGGUCUUCGGAGCGUAAAACUCGGUUAUGAGGUAAAAACAAAUGUGUAAGUAACUAUGCACGUCGUGACGGUACCUAAUCAGAAAGCCACGGCUAACUACGUG
rnacentral:rRNA from 1 species